rnacentral:sRNA from 1 species
GCCGGGCGUGGUGGCACACACCUGUAAUCCCAGCAACUCAGGAGGCAGAGGCAGGAGGAUCAAGAGUUCAAAGCCAGUCUCAGCAAUUUAGCAAGGCGCUGAGCAACUCCGGGAGACCCUGUCUCUA